GAAGUAAAAGUCGUAACAAGGUUUCCGUAGGUGAACCUGCGGAAGGAUCAUUAAUGAAUUCACUAUGGAGUUGUUGCUGGCCUCUAGGGGCAUGUGCACGCUUCACUAGUCUUUCAACCACCUGUGAACUUUUGAUAGAUCUGUGAAGUCGUCUCUCAAGUCGUCAGACUUGGUUGCUGGGAUUUAAACGUCUCGGUGUGACUACGCAGUCUAUUUACUUACACACCCCAAAUGUAUGUCUACGAAUGUCAUUUAAUGGGCCUUGUGCCUUUAAACCAUAAUACAACUUUCAACAACGGAUCUCUUGGCUCUCGCAUCGAUGAAGAACGCAGCGAAAUGCGAUAAGUAAUGUGAAUUGCAGAAUUCAGUGAAUCAUCGAAUCUUUGAACGCACCUUGCGCCCCUUGGUAUUCCGAGGGGCAUGCCUGUUUGAGUGUCAUUAAAUUCUCAAACUCACUUUGGUUUCUUUCCAAUUGUGAUGUUUGGAUUGUUGGGGGCUGCUGGCCUUGACAGGUCGGCUCCUCUUAAAUGCAUUAGCAGGACUUCUCAUUGCCUCUGCGCAUGAUGUGAUAAUUAUCACUCAUCAAUAGCACGCAUGAAUAGAGUCCAGCUCUCUAAUCGUCCGCAAGGACAAUUUGACAAUUUGACCUCAAAUCAGGUAGGACUACCCGCUGAACUUAAGCAUAU
rnacentral:rRNA from 1 species